GACGAACGCUGGCGGUGUGCUUCACACAUGCAAGUCGAACGAGGUAGCAAUACCUAGUGGCGGACGGGUGAGUAACGCGUGGGAAUCUGCCUUUAGAUGGGGGAUAACGAGCCGAAAGGUUCGCUAAUACCGCAUAGGUCGCAAGAUUAAAGGAGUAAUCCGUCUAGAGAUGAGCCCGCGUCCGAUUAGCUAGUUGGUAGGGUAAAGGCCUACCAAGGCGACGAUCGGUAGCUGGUCUGAGAGGAUGAUCAGACCACAAUGGGACUGAGACACGGCCCAUACUCCUACGGGAGGCAGCAGUGGGGAAUUUUACGCAAUGGGCGAAAGCCUGACGUAGCGACACCGCGUGAGCGAAGAAGCCCUUUGGGGUGUAAAGCUCUGUCGGCUGGAACGAAAAAAUGACGGUACCAGCAAAGGAAGCAUCGGCUAACUACGUGCCAGCAGCCGCGGUAAGUCGUGUGACA
rnacentral:rRNA from 1 species